AAUGAAGUGCCUGAUUAAAAGGAUUACUGUGAUAGAGUAAACCAUGUAAUAUUUCUUUAAAAUUACCUUCAUUA
rnacentral:tRNA from 1 species